rnacentral:misc_RNA from 1 species
GUGAAUCAUCGAAUUUUUGAACGCAAAUUGCACUCUCUGGUAUUCCGGAGAGUAUGCCUGUUUGAGGGUCAGUUAAAUAAAAAUCGGUGUGGUUGCUGCCUUUCGUUGUUACGCCCCGGAUGUGGGUCGUCUUGCCUUCGGUUAAGUGACCUAAAAUUUUGCAUGAUUUUUUUUGAAAGUAUUUAAAUGAAUUUACGUAAGUUUGCGAUUUAGAAUAAUAGGUGUUGUCAUUCUCCUG